GUCCAGACUCCUACGGGAGGCAGCAGUGAGGAAUAUUGGUCAAUGGGCGAGAGCCUGAACCAGCCAAGUCGCGUGAAGGAUGAAGGAUCUAUGGUUUGUAAACUUCUUUUAUAUGGGAAUAAAGUGAGGAACGUGUUCCUUUUUGUAUGUACCAUAUGAAUAAGCAUCGGCUAACUCCGUGCCAGCAGCCGCGGUAAUACGGAGGAUGCGAGCGUUAUCCGGAUUUAUUGGGUUUAAAGGGUGCGUAGGUGGUUAAUUAAGUCAGCGGUGAAAGUUUGUGGCUCAACCAUAAAAUUGCCGUUGAAACUGGUUGACUUGAGUAUAUUUGAGGUAGGCGGAAUGCGUGGUGUAGCGGUGAAAUGCAUAGAUAUCAGGAGGAACACCGGUGGCGAAGGCGGCCUGCUGGACUGCAACUGACGUUGAGGCCCGAAAGCGUGGGGAGCAAACAGGAUUAGAUACCCGAGUAU
rnacentral:rRNA from 1 species